rnacentral:rRNA from 1 species
GAUGAACGCUGGCGGCGUGCUUAACACAUGCAAGUCGAACGGUGAAGGCGGAGCUUGCUCUGCUGGAUCAGUGGCGAACGGGUGAGUAACACGUGAGCAAUCUGCCCCUGACUCUGGGAUAAGCGCUGGAAACGACGGCUAAUACUGGAUACGAGCUGCGAAGGCAUCUUCAGCAGCUGGAAAGAACUUCGGUCAGGGAUGAGCUCGCGGCCUAUCAGCUUGUUGGUGAGGUAAUGGCUCACCAAGGCGUCGACGGGUAGCCGGCCUGAGAGGGUGACCGGCCACACUGGGACUGAGACACGGCCCAGACUCCUACGGGAGGCAGCAGUGGGGAAUAUUGCACAAUGGGCGAAAGCCUGAUGCAGCAACGCCGCGUGAGGGACGACGGCCUUCGGGUUGUAAACCUCUUUUAGCAGGGAAGAAGCGAAAGUGACGGUACCUGCAGAAAAAGCGCCGGCUAACUACGUG